GGCUCAUAAUAUGAUCAAGUAGACACAAAAAUUUCAUGUUGAUAGUCAAUUUUAAUAACCGUCUCACAAAGACAAUACUAUAUUGACUGAUAUUUGUUCAAAUUGACCCUAUUUAUUAUUUACUCCCAUUGGUUCAUUGAUUUGAAUAUGCAAUCAAAGUUAACUUUUACCCUCAUAUCGUGCAACAUCAACUUGUGGAGAUGCCUUUCAUGAUUAUGGUACU
rnacentral:lncRNA from 1 species